rnacentral:rRNA from 1 species
GACGAACGCUGGCGGCGCGCCUAACACAUGCAAGUCGAACGAGCGAGAGAGAGCUUGCUUUCUCAAGCGAGUGGCGAACGGGUGAGUAACGCGUGAGGAACCUGCCUCAAAGAGGGGGACAACAGUUGGAAACGACUGCUAAUACCGCAUAAGCCCACAGGUCGGCAUCGACCAGAGGGAAAAGGAGCAAUCCGCUUUGAGAUGGCCUCGCGUCCGAUUAGCUAGUUGGUGAGGUAACGGCCCACCAAGGCAACGAUCGGUAGCUGGACUGAGAGGUUGAACGGCCACAUUGGGACUGAGACACGGCCCAGACUCCUACGGGAGGCAGCAGUGGGGAAUAUUGCACAAUGGGGGAAACCCUGAUGCAGCGACGCCGCGUGGAGGAAGAAGGUCUUCGGAUUGUAAACUCCUGUUGUUGAGGAAGAUAAUGACGGUACUCAACAAGGAAGUGACGGCUAACUACGUG